rnacentral:lncRNA from 1 species
AAAUCACAGCCAAUCUACUUCCUGUAAAUUCCUGUAUAUCUCUGCACAUGGGCUGAUGAAGAAGAAAAGCUCAAAGAAGAAGCAUACAGCUGGCUCACUUCAUGGACGUCCUGAGCUCCACCUAAUGUUUGGCUGCGGGGCUUAGUAUCUGCUCCCAUCAGUUGCUAGAUGAAUUCCCUCUGGUUGUCUUGAUAAUGAUUCUGCUGGACCAUGGUUCCAGAACACUCUGAAGAUUGGAAAAACUAUAGAUCAAAGUUAAUUACAGAUGGAAUCAACUUGGCAACCAAAAAUACCCAUCACAGAUAAUACCCCUGACAUUUAUCCUGGAAAUCCACAUGAACAUGUCCUCACCCAACCUGCAACAUGGGUUCGAAGUCUUAUGAUUUUUCAAACAUCUGAAAUGACAAGACCACAGUCAGAAGUAUAAUACCUAACAUCCUAAGGACUAGAGAGAACCAAGAGAGAUGGAACUGGGAUCAGUUAAAGUGCUUCCCUGAUGGAUAACUGUCCACUGUUCUUCUAAGAAGGGGGAUGCUGAACAUCUCUGAAUAUAAACAUGGAAACCUUCCAUAACAUCUGCUGCUAAUUUCUGCCAGCUGAAAAGUGAUAAUGAUGAUGAAUACUUUUGUUGAUGAUGUGGAUACAUUGGUCUAACUAAAUUAACUUGCAGACUCAGGGCAUAUAAUUGAAAACACAUGAUUUGUGGUAUCACCUGGUUGGCUUUAUGGGUAGUUACAUAUUUAAUUGUUCCAAUACGUUUAACUUUAAAAAGCUAAAAGGGUAAAAUAAACCAGAAUAUUGGUAUAAUGU